rnacentral:rRNA from 1 species
AUUAAGAAUAAUAAUAUUAGUAGUAAUGUAAAUGAAUUUAAAAAUUUAAAAUAUGUAAAAGUAAUUUUAAUUAAGUGUACCUUUUGUAUUUAGGGUUUAUUAAAAUAUAAGUUAUGAAUUAUAAUUUUCUCGAAAUUAAAAGAGCUAAUAAUAAAAAUAAUUUAAAUUAUGUUAGUUAAUGUAAAAUAAUUAUUAAUAAUAGAUUAUUAGAGGAUAGAUUCUAGUCAAUUUUAAUGAUAUCUAGUUUUUUUUGAUUUAAAUUUAAUUUAGUCUUAAAGAAAAGAAUUAAUGAAAUAAUUAGUAAUAAUUUUUUUUAAAAAAAUUAUUAUUAUUUAAGAAAAUAAAUUAUGGGAUAAACUAUAGUUUAAAUUAAAAUAAAAUUUAAUAUAUUUUAAUAUAAGUUAAAAUUAAGAUUUAAAAUAAUACUAAUAAAAUUUUAGUUUUAUAAAAAAAAUUUAAUAAUUUAUUAAAAUUAAUUAAAAUUUAAUAAAUAAAAAAUUAAAAUAAUUAUAAAAUAUUAAAUAGAUUAAAAUAAUAAAAUGAUUUUUAAAAGAUAAGAAUUUAAUUAGAUAAAAAAAUAUUAUCUUAAAUAAUUAAAGAUAAGAAAUAAUGAUAAAAUAAGUAAAAGAAAAUUAAUUAUAAAUAAAUUAUAAGAAGGAAGUGAAAUUUUAAUUUUAGGAAUUAGGCAAAAAUAUUAGGUCCAACUGUUUAAUAAAGACAUAGUUUUUUGAUUAUAAUAAAAAAUGGUUUUACUGCUCAAUGAUUAAUAAUUAAAUAGCUGCAGUAUAUUGACUGUACAAAGGUAGCAUAAUAGAUUGUUUAUUAAUUGUAAACUAGAAUGAAUGUAGGAAUGAGACUUAGACUGUCUUAAAUUAAGAAAUUGAAUUUAGUAAUUAAAUAAAAAUAUUUAAAUGAAAUUAUGGGACGAGAAGACCCUAUAGAAUUUUAUAUAUAAGUUUAUAAAAAUUAUAAAUUUGAAAGAUGGAUAAAAUUAUAUAUUUAGUUGGGAGGAUUAUUAAAUUUGAUAAACUUUAAUUUAAAAUAAAAUAUAAAUGAAUAGAAAAAAAAAAUUGAUGGAUUUAUUAAAAAUUAAGAAAGAAAUAAUUACCUUAGGGAUAACAGCGUAAUAUUUUUAGAAAGAUCAUAUUGAUAAAAAUGGUUGCGACCUCGAUGUUGAAUUAAGAUAAAAAUUAAAUGUAGAAGUUUAAUAUUUGAGUCUGUUCGACUUUUAAAAUCUUACAUGAUUUGAGUUUAGAUCGGCGUGAGCUAGAUUGGUUUCUAUCUAUAAUAAAUUUAAUAAAUAUUUGUACGAAAGGACUAUAUUUAUGAAUUUAAUUUUUGUAAAAAAGUAAUAUAAGUGUAUUAAGUAAUAAUAAAAUUAAAAAAUUUAUUAUGUAUUAAAUUAUUUU